UACAGGAAAUAACCACGAGAAAGGAAAGGCUGCCCAGCCAGUCUGCUGAGGGCCAGGAAGUUUCCUCUUGAAACUCUUAUUCCAUCUACUUUUAGGGUGCCUCCCAUGCAAUUCCCAGUCCUGCCUGCUCAGCAAUCCAAGGAUUUGGCUCUCCUCAGCAGGAACCAGCAGGGCAUGAACUUCCUGCUGGCAUCACCUUGUUGUGUCCUUCAUCCCUACAAAGAAUUCGGCUUUGGUUGGGGAUUUUGGGUCUGACUGGGUUUUUUUGUUGUUGGUGGUGGUUUUUUGUUUGUUUGUUUGUUUUUGUUUUUUGGGUUUUUUUUUUUUGUCUGGUCAGAGAUUUUUUUGGUCUGGCUGUGGGGUUCUUGUCUGGUUAGGGUUUUUUGUAUCUCACUGGAGUUUUCUUGUCUGGUUGGGUUUUUUUUGACCUGGAUGAGAUUUUUUUUGUCUGGUUGAGUUUCUCUGGGGGGGUGUUUUAGGGGAAGCCAUCACUUCUGCUCAUCACUGCAGCUGCAGAGGGGCCAGAGCAUUUCCAUUCCCUGCACAGUAACUUUCACUGGACACAUGAGGCAGGAGGACAGGACAUGCACGGGGUAAAACCCAGGGCAGAAGGAGCAGGAACAUUCCAGCGUUCUGGCAGAGCCUCUCUGUAGCAGGAAUUGCUGGAGGCAGCUCCCUGACGCACUCGCCGGCAUUCCCAGCGAGAUGGGAGAUACCAGGUCCUAUCUGCAGGAAGGAUCACUCUUGGAAUGAGAGCAAAAGGCCCCUUAUCUCCCUGGGGAGCUUUACAGCCCAAGAUCAGGCAGCUGAGCCCCAAAGAGGGAAUGUGAGCAUGGCCACGGUGGAAAGUUACCUGAGCACAUCCAGAGCCCACGCUGACAUUCCCAUUUGGGAGAGGAGAAAUGGAAAACAGCCAGGGAGAGGGAACAUUGCUGUUCCAGUGGCCUCCGUCCCUGGAAUAACCCCUUAGCAAUGCUAAUUUGGAGCAAGCAAGACAGUUCUGUGAGGGUGUUAGAGCCUCAGGGUGGGUCACAGGAUCCCAGCCCAUUUCCCAGCAUGGAACCUCAGCCUCCUCCAUCUCUUCUCUGCCAUUUCCUGGCAAUAUUCCUUCCCUGGGAUCCCAAUCCCUCAGGAGCAUCCUGCCCCACUGCCCUCACUCCUGGCUGGAGCCAAAGAACUGCAGGAAGAAGGAGAAGAUGUAGAUGAUAUCCAGGUAGAUAUUGAGGGCUCCAAAGAUGUAUUCCUCAGGGCUCAGUGAGUACCGGCGGUUCCCCAUCAGCAUCUGCGUGUCCAGGGCCAGGAACUGGAAGGAAAAGGAGGAAACCCCGGGACAGUGACAGGGAGGUUUGGCCCAGGGAGGCAAGAAGGGCUCUAGUGACAGGAGAAGUCCCCACUGCCUCCCUGAACCUGGGAUGAAAGUGCAGCCCCUUUUUAUGUGCUGGAUCCAAAAUGUAAGAGCUCAGAACAAGCUGCAACUUUCCCCUUCCCUAAUUUCCCUCCUGACAAUCAAACCCCAAGUAUAAUUCCC
rnacentral:lncRNA from 1 species